GCAGCUCAGUAGCCCGCCGUCUUCUUUCUUCUAUGCCGCUGCCCCCUCCCUCUGUAAUCUUUAACCACUCGAAGGAGGCUUUCAUUCUGUCUUCUCCAUGCGGUAGAUACGUAAUAACGAGAAACAGAAGCUAAUUCUACCGCCGGAGUUUCCACCAGAGCUCACCGAUGAAGAAGUUGAGGUCUCCGAAGGGGAAGAAGUUGACGUCUCAGAAGUUACUGGAUUAGGCUUCCAACAGCAAAGGAGCUAGAAAUGGAAGUAUCCAAGGGUGUUCAGAAAAUGCGGAGCUACGGGUCUACUCUUCUCAUUGCUUAUAAGUGUAGACUGAAACUUCUUGGUUUUUUGCAAUGCAUAACUGGGGAUCUAGAUGCCUUAUUUGUUAAGAGGAUCUCCUUUUAGG